rnacentral:rRNA from 1 species
GCAGCAGUGGCGUAAAUUACCCAAUGCCGGUUUAUGGCGAGGUAGUGACGGCGAUUAACACUGACCUUGGCUUUCAGCUAGGGUCGGUUUGGAAUGGCUGGGUUCUAAAAAUACCCAGGAGGAUCAAUUGGAGGGCAAGUCUGGUGCCAGCAGCCGCGGUAAUUCCAGCUCCAAUGGCGGAUGUUGAUUCUGCUGCAGUUAAAAAGCUCGUAGUUGAAUUUUGGCCUUUGUUUCUUGCGGCUUUGUAUCGCGGUGUCAAAACCGUGGUGCGGGCAUGUUGGGAGCGGGGCUUUUGCGCGGGGAGCCUUCGUUUGGUUUACUCUAAGCGUUGGGGAUCUGCGCCUUUUACUGUGAGGAAAUCUAGGUGCUCAAAGCGGGCUUUACGCUCGAAAGCUUCAGCACGGAAUGAUAAGAUACGACUCGGUCGGUCUUGUUGGUUUAUCGAACGAGUAAUGGUUAACAGGAACAGUUGGGGGUAUUCGUAUUGGCAUGUCAGAGGUGAAAUUCUUGGAUUAUGUCAAGACGAACGACUGCGAAAGCAUUUACCAAGGAUGUUUUCAUUAAUCAAGAACGAAAGUUGGGGGAUCGAAGAUGAUUAGAUACCAUCGUAGUCUCAACCGUAAACGAUGCCGACUGUCAAUCGUCACGCUUUUUUUAAAGAGGCGUGGCGGCGGGCGAUGAGAAAUCGAAGUCUUUGGGUUCUGGGGGGAGUAUGGUCGCAAGACUGAAACUUAAAGGAAUUGACGGAAGGGCACACCAGAGGUGGAGCUUGCGGCUUAAUUUGACCCAACACGGGAAAACUUACCAGGUCCGGACUUCAAAAGGAUUGACAGAUUGAAAGCUCUUUCAUGAUCUGAAGGGUGGUGGUGCAUGGCCGUUCGUAGUUGGUGGAGUGAUUUGUCUGGUUAAUUCCGUUAACGAACGAGACCUCGGCCUGCUAAAUAGUAGACCUUAUCUCGCGAUAGGUGUACACUUCUUAGAGGGACUUUGUGUUUUUAAUGCAAGGAAGUUCGAGGCAAUAACAGGUCUGUGAUGCCCUUAGAUGUUCUGGGCCGCACGCGUGCUACAAUGAGUGGAUCAAUAGGUUUUGUGCUUCUCCGAAAGGAGUCGCUAAUCCCGAAUACCACUCGUGAUGGGGCUUGAUUUUUGCAAUUAUGAAUCACCAACGAGGAAUCUCUAGUAAGCGUAAAUCAUCAGUUUGCGCUGAUUACGUCCCUGCCCUUUGUACACACCGCCCGUCGCACCUACCGAUUGCGCGCUUGAAUGAAAUCUCGGGAGCCGAAAUACUGGGCCGUUAAAAGUUUGGUGAUUUGGUGAACUUGAUUGAAUUCAACUGCGUAGAGGAAGGUGAAGUCGU